rnacentral:lncRNA from 1 species
GUGUGGACUGCUGCAUAAGAAAAACAACUUAGCCAGGCAAUGACUGCCGUCUCGUGGCAUUUUCCUGAUGUCAUAGUGGCUCCAUAUUGGAGGGGGUGGCAAAUGGCAACAUAGCGGUCAUAGGACAUGACAGUGAGAAAGGCCAGUUCAGCAGAUGCAAAAGCAAAGAAAAAGUAGACUUGAGCCACACAGCCAAGAUAAGAGAUGGAGCUGCUGUGGGUCAGAGAGCUGUGGACUGACUUAGGCACGGUGACUGAGAUGUAGCACAAAUCCAAAAAGGAGAGGUUCCUUAGGAAGAAGUACAUGGGCGUGUGCAGAUACUGAUCAAGAGUAAUGAGCAUGAUGAUGAGAAGGUUCCCCACCAGAGCUGCCAGAUAAAUCAGCAGAAACAGUCCAGCAAGUAGCAUCUGUAGCUCCCAGACAUCAGAAAACCCCAUGAGCAGGAAUUCUGUCACUUCCACGAGAUUGUCCAUUGGAAGGUGAAACUAAGACAAAGCAAGGUCAAGUAGCUUGCCCAAGACCACUCAAAAAGCCAGAUCCUGCGCCAGCACUCAAAUCAAGGUAGUCCAUCUCCGGGAUCAGUGUCGCUAACCUCUGCAUUCUACUAAUCUACUUUAAUGGGUCAAAAUGGAAAUUGAAAAUAGUGGGGUGGACAGAAGAGAGGAGGAGAAUCAUGUUGUCUGAGUAAAGCCAGACACAGCCACGGAAUAUUGAAAAGCAGCGAAUAAUAAAGGAAAAAGUCUUGGAGUUGAAGAUAAACUGAGAGGACUAAGAAAUAAGGAAGAGAAAAAUGAGGCAAGAGGGGGUUGACUGAAUGCAGAUUGGGCUCACUGAGCCCAAGUGUCUGCCCUGAGUGUGCUGCAUUCUGCCAAUGGAUGUCACAUUCCCACCUCCAAAUGCAGAC